rnacentral:lncRNA from 1 species
UUGGCUAUAAUAAAAUACUUCGGACAGAUAUGUCAAUAAAAAGCUGAUCUUUGACACUUGACGAGAGUGACAGUGUAUGCUUAAGCAUCUUCCCAGUUUUCCAGCAUCACGCUUAAGGAGAGAAUAAGAAAUAUUUCAAUUUUAAUAAUCCUUAGCUCCAGAAACGUUUCUUUCUAUUUAAAUAAGUUAUUAGACACCUAUAGACACCCUUAGAACACCUAUUUGGCAACACCGUAUUCACUGUCAUAACUGUCAAAAUUUUGAAGGUUAAUGUCACAAAAUAUCCUCCCCCAAGCCAAGGGGGAUAUUUUAUGGUUAAUGUUUUGUCUACACUCUACUGCUAUAAUAAUCUCCCCAUAAGACCUUAGAUUUUAUUUAAUUAGAAGAUGAUCUUUUCGACAUAAUGGUCUAUCAAAGAAAGAAACAAGCACAAAAUUUCACUACAUCGGAAAAAGAAAAGGAUUGUUACACUUAUUGGGAAGUUUAUAGAAGUGUAAUGGGAGAUAAAAAGACCGAAUCUAUGUUAUAAUUUCUUCAAGUGCUGUGGCAUUAAUACAAUAAACCCAAGUGCCGACUACCCUCUCUUCCGGUCGUUCAAGAUAAACUGCGUACAAACGACAGUAAAAGCAAAAACAUUCAUGACAAUUGAACCCAGGACAGAUAAAUUAAUUAUUACUCCAUUUCCGCCUUUGAUCACUGGGCAGCGAGCCUCCGCUUGGGUGCUUAAUAAUAUUAAUUGCUGUUUACAAAACGUGUCUUGCUGAUUUUCAUCAUUGAAAGAUAAUUGGGAUAAUAGUUUAGUACAUGCACUGGUAAUCUUGUUUCCUUCGGAUUCCAGUCGAUGGCCUGCGGUUAAGUAUAACAGCACUUGACCCUAAAAAAAAGAAUACUAAGUAAACCUGAUCACUAAUCAAGCAGAUUCACUUACGAACAUAGAAAUAAUCCAACAAAUGUUAUAAAAGAUAUUACAAAUCCAGGCUUCAAAUGGCAAUUGCGGUGAAAUAUCAAAUUUGGAGGAGGAUAUUUGCAUUAUGUCAGCAUUAAUGAAUAAAAUCACCGCUCGUAUUAUAUUCGCGAUCACUCCGAUUAAUGAAACGAACGCUAUUGACGCAACACAUUCAUUAAAUUCUUCAGUGAUAUGACACAAGUCGUUGUGUUUUUUCGAGAGCUUUUUUAGGCACUCAUAGUUUGCAGGCUUGAAUAAGUAAAUUGUCCUGAUUUUUGGCCACUGUGGCUUCUGGGCAUUCAAAUUGGCCACCGUAAACAGAUCUACACCGUCCUAAAAUUGUAAUACAAAGGUUAAAUGGGACAGGUGGACUCGACUGUCCUACUUACGAUAACAGAAUUGACUUUACGUAAACCAGCAAAGGACCGAUCGAAUUCCUCAUUUAAGUCGGCAAACAUGUCCCUUAAACCGUUCACGAGCUCGAUUUGGACCAGCAAGGUGAAAUGUAGAUAGACAAACUGUAGAUCUUGCAACACGUAAUACUGGUACAUCUGCACGAACGUGCGAGGAUUAAAUGCGUAGAAGUUUCCUGUGAGGCCGAGGAAACCGAUAGCGAUUGGGAUGUACGAUGUUAAGCUGCAAAAAGAGACAUUCAUUAGUCCAAAGAUUUAAUAGGAAAUUGUCCAGGAUGUCGUAACAAUGGUUUAUUCCGUUUGUUGCACUGGUGUAGAAGAGAUGUUGAACAG